rnacentral:rRNA from 1 species
CCUACGGGGGGCAGCAGUGGGGAAUAUUGGACAAUGGGCGAAAGCCUGAUCCAGCCAUGCCGCGUGUGUGAAGAAGGCCUUCGGGUUGUAAAGCACUUUCAGUGGGGAAGAAAGCCUUGGGGCUAAUACCCUCGAGGAAGGACAUCACCCACAGAAGAAGCACCGGCUAACUCCGUGCCAGCAGCCGCGGUAAUACGGAGGGUGCGAGCGUUAAUCGGAAUUACUGGGCGUAAAGCGCGCGUAGGCGGUCUGAUAAGCCGGUUGUGAAAGCCCCGGGCUCAACCUGGGAACGGCAUCCGGAACUGUCAGGCUAGAGUGCAGGAGAGGAAGGUAGAAUUUCCGGUGUAGCGGUGAAAUGCGUAGAGAUCGGGAGGAAUACCAGUGGCGAAGGCGGCCUUCUGGACUGACACUGACGCUGAGGUGCGAAAGCGUGGGUAGCAAACAGGAUUAGAUACCCCAGUAGUC